CAGUCGCCACGGUAAUACGAAGGGUGCAAGCGUUACUCGGAAUUACUGGGCGUAAAGCGUGCGUAGGUGGUGGUUUAAGUCCGUUGUGAAAGCCCUGGGCUCAACCUGGGAAUUGCAGUGGAUACUGGGUCACUAGAGUGUGGUAGAGGAUAGUGGAAUUUCCGGUGUAGCAGUAAAAUGCGUAGAGAUCGGAAGGAACAUCUGUGGCGAAGGCGACUAUCUGGGCCAACACUGACACUGAGGCACGAAAGCGUGGGGAGCAAACAGGAUUAGAUACCCGCGUAGUCCCUGUCUCUUAUAC
rnacentral:rRNA from 1 species